rnacentral:rRNA from 1 species
GAUGAACGCUGGCGGCGUGCCUAAUACAUGCAAGUCGAGCGAACGUACGAGAAGCUUGCUUCUCUGAUGUUAGCGGCGGACGGGUGAGUAACACGUGGAUAACCUACCUAUAAGACUGGGAUAACUUCGGGAAACCGGAGCUAAUACCGGAUAAUAUUUUGAACCGCAUGGUUCAAAAGUGAAAGACGGUCUUGCUGUCACUUAUAGAUGGAUCCGCGCUGCAUUAGCUAGUUGGUAAGGUAACGGCUUACCAAGGCAACGAUGCAUAGCCGACCUGAGAGGGUGAUCGGCCACACUGGAACUGAGACACGGUCCAGACUCCUACGGGAGGCAGCAGUAGGGAAUCUUCCGCAAUGGGCGAAAGCCUAACGGAGCAACGCCGCGUGAGUGAUGAAGGUCUUCGGAUCGUAAAACUCUGUUAUUAGGGAAGAACAUAUGUGUAAGAAACUGUGCACAUCUUGACGGUACCUAAUCAGAAAGCCACGGCUAACUACGUG